AAUCAACGCUGGCGGCGUGCCUCAGACAUGCAAGUCGAACGAUUAAGACUCUCUUCGGAGAGUGUAUAAAGUGGCGCACGGGUGAGUAACACGUAGGUAAUGUACCGAAGGGUGGGGAAUAACUUAGGGAAACUUAAGCUAAUACCGCAUAAUGCAGCGGCUCGACAUCGAGACAGUUGUUAAAGGAGCAAUCCGCCUUUUUGAGCAGCCUGCGGCAGAUUAGCCUAGUUGGUAAGGUAAUGGGCUUACCAAGGCUACGAUCUGUAACCGACCUGAGAGGUGGUCGGUCACACCUGACACUGAAUAACGGGUCCAGACUCCUACGGGAGGCAGCAGUCGGGAAUUUU
rnacentral:rRNA from 1 species